rnacentral:rRNA from 1 species
CCCGCUGAACUUAAGCAUAUCAAUAAGCGGAGGAAAAGAAACUAACAAGGAUUCCCCUAGUAACUGCGAGUGAAGCGGGAAAAGCUCAAAUUUAAAAUCUGGCGGUCUUUCGGCCGUCCGAGUUGUAAUCUGGAGAAGCGUUUAUCCGCGUUGGACCGUGUACAAGUCUUCUGGAAGGGAGCGUCAUAGAGGGAGAGAAUCCCGUCUUUGACACGGACUACCAAUGCUUUUGUGACGCGCUCUCGAAGAGUCGAGUUGUUUGGGAAUGCAGCUCAAAAUGGGUGGAAAAUUCCAUCUAAAGCUAAAUAUUGGCGAGAGACCGAUAGCGAACAAGUACCGUGAGGGAAAGAUGAAAAGCACUUUGGAAAGAGAGUUAAACAGUACGUGAAAUUGUUGAAAGGGAAACGUUUGAAGUCAGUCGCGUUGGCCGAGACUCAGCCUUGCUUCCGCUCGGUGCACUUCUCGGUUGACGGGUCAGCAUCAAUUUCGACCGCCGGAUAAAGGUUGAGGGAACGUGACAUCUUUCGAGGUGUGUUAUAGCCCUCGAUUCGCAUACGGCGAUUGGGAUUGAGGAACUCAGCGCGCCUUUAUGGUCGGGGUAGCAACCCACGGAACGCGCUCAGGAUGCUUGGCAUAAUGGCUUUAAGCGACCCGUCUUUGAACACGG